CAGCAGCCGCGGUAAUACGUAGGUGGCAAGCGUUGUCCGGAAUUAUUGGGCGUAAAGCGCGCGCAGGCGGUUUCUUAAGUCUGAUGUGAAAGCCCCCGGCUCAACCGGGGAGGGUCAUUGGAAACUGGGGAACUUGAGUGCAGAAGAGGAGAGUGGAAUUCCACGUGUAGCGGUGAAAUGCGUAGAGAUGUGGAGCAACACCAGUGGCGAAGGCGACUCUCUGGUCUGUAACUGACUGCUGAGGCGCGAAAGCGUGGGGAGCGAACAGGAUUAGAUACCCUGGUAGUCACGCCCGUAAACGAUGAGUGGUAAGUGUUAGAGGGUUUCCGCCCUUUAGUGCUGCAGCAAACGCAUUAAGCACUCCGCCUGGGGAGUACGGUCGCAAGACUGAAACUCAAAGGAAUUGAGGGG
rnacentral:rRNA from 1 species